UAGAUUUUGGCCCCUUCUCUGAUCGAGUUCGACACCCCUAAUGUAGGGUGUGAGUCAGGAAGAUGGAACCGGUGGAACCCGGAUGAGCUGCCCCGAGAUCAGCCAAAAAUAAGGAAGCAUUGAACUCAUGACCACUGAUAACGGAUGUCUAUCUGUGUUGCUGCUCUUAUCUGAUCAGAAGCAUCACUGUGGUUUUGCUGUCACUUAGAGACGCCUUGGCAGGGUGUUCACAGCUGGAAUGUUUGCAGACUUCAGGCCGUCACUGCCACCCCCUCUAGCCUGCUGUGCAGAGGUCACUGCACUGUGCAGUGCACUGAGAGACGACUCUGCUGAAACUUCCGCCCCAUGAUCUGCUUUGCUCAGGGCCCCUGCAGGUGUUGUGUGAGAGGCUGAUAGAGAAUGUGGUGUGGAGGAGACCUGGCUUGGCGUUCUGGCUCCUUCAGUUGUUAAGUGGGUGAUUUUGGACACGUUCGUUGUCUUCUUAAAACGGACUUUCUUCAUCUGUAAGAUGGUCGCACUCAAAAUGACCACAAGGUGUACAUGAGGAUGCGAGGGAAGAGCACGGGAGGGUUGUAGCAGGAGUUAGGGUCUAAUGGUGCCUUGGCCAUGGUAGCUGUGCUCUGUUAGGAUAGUCUUUCACCUAGCAGAGGUCCUCACACACAACAUCUGAGGCAGCCAGUGCAUGCUGGAGAGUGUCCUGUUUUGCACUUUGUACAUAGCUCUUCAUUUAGCUGCUUUUCCUAGCUGAUUCCUAUAGUUCUAUGUCCUUCUCCUCUGAUGGGAUGUGAACCUUUGCAUUACUUUGCUGCGGCUGCCGUAACGAAGCACCACAGACGGGGUGGCUUAAACAACACGAGUUAACCUUCUCACAGUCUGGAAGUCCAAGGUCAAGGUGCUGCCAUGGGAGGCUUCUUCAGAGACCUCUCCUUGGCUUGUAGAUGGUUGUCUUCUCUGUGCCUCCACGUGGCUUUCCCUCUGUAUGUCGCUGUCCUAAUCUCUUCUUAUAAGGACAUCCGUCACAUUGGAUUAGGGACCACGUUGGUAACCUCAUUGUAACUCUUCAAGCUCUGUCUCCUAGUUCAGGCAUGUUCUGAGGUACAGGGAUUAGGACUUCCGUACACGAAUUUUGGGUGUUAUAAUUUACCCCUAAACCACUUUGAAGGGCAGGCGUUAUAAUUUCAGCUCAUGCAUUCUUUAUCCUCAGCACCUGGCCAGAAGUGCCUGCCGUGUAGAAGCUGCUCACUAAAGAUUAAAAGGCUGAGUGAUUGCAUUAAUGGCUACUUUAGCUUUGAAUGGCCCGCCCUCUGAGAAGGAAAGUGGAAACAGAAGGAAAGUGGGUAAUCACGGCAUUUGUCAGCAUAGAUGGAACUCAUUUUGUUUACUAAUCUCAUUGAUGUUUCCUUUAUUACUGAUUCCAUUCUAAAAAGGGAUGUUUUCGUAUUAUAGUAAAAGUUUUUUUUUUUUAAAGUAAUACCUUGGGUAUUCAGUCAAUACCACUCCCGGUACCCACUCCCACAUCUAAUAGGUAUAUAACACAUGAAAAAUAGGAUAUUCUCCUAGAAGUAAGUUAUUUUAGAUGCUAUAAUAAAUAAUGUGCUCUGGUUUAUUCAAGGGAUUCUUUUUCUCAUGAAUUAAAUACUACCAGCAUGUAUCACACAUUAUUUAUCACCCAUCUAAAAUACCCAAAAUAGUUAAAUUCAAGAGAAAAUAGCAUCAUCAACAGCAAUUAGUAGUCCUUCAUCAGAAGAGAAUAAAUUUUUUUCCUUGUUGUCAUAUUCUCCAACAUGAAUUAGAAUUUUCAGGUGCAAUGUCAACAGAAAAAAAUACCCCCAAGUUAGAAACUGAAACUCUGAAGUGUUUUGAAUCUCCUCAGGAUAGUUACCCCUACUUUCUUCCCUUUUCCAAAGUGGGUCUUAAAAACCUAAAAGGAGCUGCUGUAAGUUAAAGUUCGAACAGAAAAUAGAACCAAAACCUUAAUUUACAUUUCUUUGAUGACUUAAAUUAUAUGAACACCGCCUUGCUUUUUUUUUUCCUUUGCAGUGAAAAGAGUAUUUUCGUUGCUUUUUUAAAGCCUCGUUUAGAAAUGAGUACUUUUCACCUAUAUAUUUAAGAGACGGAGAUAUUUUUGCUACCAAGAGAGAAAAAAGAGGGAACAACCCACCCAUCCAACGCUGCCGCGACCUGAAAUAGAUCCCCAGUGGUUUGCAGGCUCCGUGGCAGGCCAGCCUGUCCCCCGGGUGACUUCUGGGAGGCAGGGGUGAUGGGCAGGGGGGCUGGGAGUAUAUAGGAAACUGUUCUGCGUUUGUAUAAAUAUUGACACUUAAAGGUGAGAGAAAAGUUGGCCGUUUCUAGGUCACCUGUUCUGUCAUUCUUGCUUUCCAGAGCAAAAUACGUCAUCUACAGUAGACUUAACAUUUAGAUGCGUUUUGAAAUGAAAUACAAGUGAUGUAAUAAUUAUGCCUUGGCCUGGUAUACAU